CCUACGGGUGGCAGCAGUGAGGAAUAUUGGUCAAUGGGCGCAAGCCUGAACCAGCCAAGCAGCGUGAAUGAUGACUGCUUUAUGGGUUGUAAACUUCUUUUAUAAGGGAAUAAACUGAGACACGCCUGCCUUUCUGCACGUACUUUAUGAAUAAGGAUCGGCUAACUCCGUGCCAGCAGCCGCGGUAAUACGGAGGGUUCGCGCGUUAUCCGGAUUUAUUGGGUGUAAAGGGAGCGUAGAUGGGUGGUUAAGUCAGUUGUGAAAGUUUGCGGCUCAACCCCAGAAUUGCAGGUGAUACUGGAUGGCUUGAGUACAGUUGAGGUAGGCGGAAUUCGUGGUGUAGCGGUGAAAUGCUUAGAGAUUAGGAAGAACACCGAUUGCGAAGGCAGCUUACUAAACUGCUACUGACGUUGAGGCUCGAAAGUGUGGGUAUCAAACAGGAUUAGAUACCCGUGUAGUC
rnacentral:rRNA from 1 species